GAUGAACGCUAGCGGCAGGCCUAACACAUGCAAGUCGAGGGGUAGAGGAAGCUUGCUUCCUUGAGACCGGCGCACGGGUGCGUAACGCGUAUGCAAUCUACCUUGUACUGAGGGAUAGCCCAGAGAAAUUUGGAUUAAUACCUCAUAGCAUUAUGAUGUGGCAUCACAUUAUAAUUAAAGUUCCAACGGUACAAGAUGAGCAUGGGUCCCAUUAGUUAGUUGGUGAGGUAAAGGCUUACCAAGACAAUGAUGGGUAGGGGUCCUGAGAGGGAGAUCCCCCACACUGGUACUGAGACACGGACCAGACUCCUACGGGAUGCAGCAGUGAGGAAUAUUGGUCAAUGGGCGCAAGCCUGAACCAGCCAUGCCGCGUGCAGGAUGAAGCAUCUAUGGUAUGUAAACCGCUUUUGGCAGGAACGAAGCGGCGCAAGCCAAUACCUUGCGCUAAUGACGGUACCUGCAGAAUAAGCACCGGCUAACUACGUGCCAGCCGCCGCUGUAAGAC
rnacentral:rRNA from 1 species